rnacentral:lncRNA from 1 species
UUUGAAUGAGUAUGUACAGUUGGCCCAUAUCUCACACCUGAAAAGGGCUUUGACCCGUUUGGAUACCAAAUCAUCAAAUGAAAUUAGAGUAAAAGCUUUGAACGGCUGCGGCGGCAGUUACAGGGAAAUCAAAGCCCCUUCCUUGAAGACAAUUUUCUCCAUAACAAGGUUUUUUGGUAUCAAGAGGUAAGUUAAAUCUCCAAAACUAAUUUGUGCUUGCUAUAUUGAUGUUUUAUUAAUAUGAUUUGCAAAUUUAUCUGUUGUGAUUUUGUCAAUUCAAUCAUUCUUUACAAAUAUGUAAGCAGCAAGGAAUAGAACACUUCAAUUUAAAACUACCCCCAAUCUUAGGAGUUGGUAUAGUGUGUAAACAAUCAAUUAGAAAAAAAAUAAUCUGGUCGCUAUUGACGUUUUGGUACUAGAAUCAAACUUUUAGGGACUAUUUUUCGUUGUUAAUGCCUGGUUCUUUUGUAGUAAAACCAAAAAUCUAGCUUAUGAGCAGAAGAUUGUCCAAGACCAUAAAAUGAGAGAAACAACCCAUCUAUGUACCAGUUACUUAGGCUUUGUCAAUUGGAGCGUGAACAAUAUACCGUGAGGGUCCAUCAUUAUGAUACACUAUAAUAGGGAGGGAUGGAUCUUGCUCUGAUAGCAUGUUAAGAAAUGGACCUUGGACCUAACUCAACUCCAAAGCUAGCUCAUGACGGGGAUUGUCCAAGACCAUAUAAUGAAAUAGAUAAACAAUCUAUCCAUCUAACUAGGAAGGAGAAGACACUGAGAUAACAAAUCAGUGAGGAGGGCUUUGUCCGAGUUGGAGCUCCAUGUCAGCAACAAUAUAAAUUUUUAAAGCUGGUUUUAUCCGAGGUGGAUCUCCGUUAGUGGGGAGGGGCUUAAGUGCUACACUUGGCUAACGGCAAGGGCAAUUUUGGUCCAAAAACAAAAUGGACAACAAAAUUGUGUUAUUUCAGUAGUUCAGAGAUAUUUUUUACCCUUUUCCCAAUACUCAAUGAUUAUAAUAGAUAGAAGGCCCUGAUGAGGCGUAAAAACUAAUUGUCCAAAAAAAAAAACUAAUGAGGUUAAGAGACAUUGUUAUCAGAGAUAAGUUUCUAUAUACCUUGAUAAAUGAAAGACUUGAACGUGUGAUUUUAAAUAGAAAUCAUGAUAUACGAAGUAUUGAUUACAAAGUGAAAUGCAAAAAGAAAAUAACGAUAGUGAUAUUCUGAAAGAUAACGGAACCACUCUGACAUACAAUUUAUUUCAUUUGAGAGAAAUAGGAUUUGCCUAUGAAUUUGUGAUGGUUGACACACCAAAUUUAAAGUUUGAUCCUCUUAGCUUUUCUUUUGUGAUAUGAUCCAUUCUUUCUAUCAUGUUAUCUGUUAGAUGAUUCUUCCAAUCUCCAGGCUUACCCUUCCUGAAAUAGGCGCUGUUAUCUAUCUGCAAAGAGGAUAUUGGCCGAUCCUGCCCAUUCUUAAUCACCUCCAAAUUGCUCAAGUUGUCAAAACUACAUAAUUUGAAAAUCCUUUCUGGUAACCCUUCUCCCUCUUCGUCCCUUGAAAAUGGUUUUCCCAUGAACUCAGCCAAUUUUCUCACGUAGAACAAUGUGUCUUUUGUUAAUUCUUCAUAUUUGAGAAACAAUAGUGAUUCUGGCUUGUCUAAACUUUGUUUCCAGUACCCCAAAACAUGAUCCCAGUACGGUCCCCACAUUGUUUUCCCUUCACAGAACAACUCGAACCCUUCCUCAAAGGAAAUUAACAAUUCUGUUGUUUCAUCCAACUCUCCUUGCUGCAGCCAUGUAAAUCUUUGCAUGAAAUGCCAAAGAGAAAUGAAAGUGUCCUUGGGUUCCCUGCACAAGUAAAUCAUCUUUGUACUGUCCAGGGACUGGACAGAUUUGGGUAAAGCAUCAAAUGGUAUAUGUGUGGCUAUAAGAAAAAUAUUUUGAGCCUUCAUAUCGGAAGAAUGUUUUGGAGAAUCAAAUUCCAAGGAAGGGAUGAGAACAUGAGAAAGAUUAGUGAGCAAAGGGUUGUUUUCCAUAUUAAAAUGAUCUCUGGUUACAAUCGCGUAACACAGAGCUUUGAGCCAUGUGCAACCAGUUUUAGGAGCACUACAAAUGUAUAUAUCGUUCCAAGAAGACUUAAAGUUUUCUUGUGCUGAAAUGAUAGCUUGAAGCAUUGGAAACGGAUACCAAAAGCCUUGGUACUGAUACAAAUCCAUGAAAUCAUUAGACCCUUUUUCCUUUGGAAGCGUUGAUAUAAGCUUCUUGAAUUUAGAGCUCGCUUCUUCUUCUUCUUCGGCAACAUAAGAGAGGUUUAUGGUCAUGUUAUUGAUGGGGGAAGAAUCCAUGAAGGUUUAAUUCAACCAAAUACUGGCUAGCUUAUGAGAGAAUGAAGAGAAGAUAGUAGAUGGAUCAUGGAUUGGGUUGUGAGAGGUUCUCUUUUUCCUUUAAAAAAUAAUUAUUUGACUUUAUACUUACUAUUUUACUCGCAAUGGCAUGCUCAUAUAUGCUAUAUAUGAUAUAUUUAAUCCUGCAAGUGUUAGGCCGUCUCAACAAGAUUGAACAUGCCAUUACUAGUCCUCCACAUGGUCUUAGAUAUUUCUUUAUUCUUUGAGAUUUUUCUUGUUUUGCUUAUGUUAACAAAAGCAAUAUCAUAUCCAGGAUUUGAACUGAUCAAAACCUUUGAUUUUUGAACUGAUCAAAACCUUUGAUUAAAGAUGAAGAAAUAGUUACCACCGUCUUCCACAACCUUUGUUGAUGAGAUUCUACCUUAGUUAUCACUUGACGAGUGAUUCAAUUCCACUAUUAAUUUUAUAGCAUCUACUCUGUCAGUUACAUAGCCAG